GGAGGACCAAGGUGCAGCAUGGUGGUAUAGAAUCUUACUCCAUAAUGCGCUUCCAACCCCCAGCUCAGCACAAGAUGAAGGAGAUGUGCAGUACCAGGAAAUAUUCUUCAAGAGGACCAAACAGUUGGUGGUUAAGAAGCCCUACACCACUUUCGGCAGAGCCUUAUCCAGCUGGCCAUUCACCGCAGACAGGACAAGCCCAUCGCCAUUGCACAAAGAGUCUCCGCUUCCCCAGUGCACCAUGCCAAACACAAUUGCCAGUGUACCGAAGCCAGAUAAAGGACUAUGGCUGCAUUUACACAGGCAGCCCAAUUCUGAUAUUUUUUCACUAAUGGGUCUUUUGAUCAAUCAGAUCAGCUCUGAAAAAGAUCUGUUGUGAAAAAAUAGCAGAAUUGGGCUGUGUGUGUAAACGCAGACGGUGUGAUUCAGCAUAAGAUCAUGUAGAACACACUGGAGGAUGGCUCAUAAUAAUGGCCAGGACGGAGCAAAUGGAAUGGUAUCAAACACAUUGAAACUGUUUGUAUUUGAUAUCGUUCCACUCUAGCCAUCACCAUGAGCCCGUCAUCCUCAAUUAAGGUGUCUCCAACCCUGUUUCUGCAGAACUACCCUCCUGUAGGUUUAUGCUCCUACCCUAGUUGUAACUAACCUAGUUCCUUUUUUAAAAACCAGCUAAUUAGACUCAGGUGUGCUAGGUUACUACAGUGCUACAGGAUGGGAGCUCUCCAAGAACAGGGUUGGAGAGCCCUGAUUUAGAACCCCCAUCAAAUAAAUAUAGAUAUUUUCUAUUAGUCUUUUAAAUUUGUCUGCCCUUAUGAAUUCACAGAAGACAUUUAUAUUAAAACUGUACAGGGCUCUGUAGCAUCAAACAGAUGCUAGACAUUCAGAUAUCCUCUGUAGACUCUACAGAUGGGACUUAUUCACCAUAAUAACCUCCUUAACCAAGCCUCAGAGCGUCAGGGACUGACUGGGCCAACCCAACAGCAGGUCCCUCACAAUGAGGGGUGGGCUUCAGCUUGGCACACAAUUCCAAAACCACAUGCUUGGGCUAUAUGGAGAUUAGCAUAAGUGCUAUGUACUGGUUGUGCAUCCCACCUAAACUUAUCUGUAAUUACUGUAUUGGGCUGGAGUUCUGCUCUUGUUAGUGUAUUUUUAAAAAUACUAUGCAUUUUUGGUGUCCUGUUGUGCAUAUAAAAUAUGCUAUGAAGCAAUGAUGCCCAAGCUGCGCAAAUAUUUGGAACUCAUUGUACAAGAUGAGAUGUUAUAUUUUACAUAAUU
ensembl:lncRNA